rnacentral:rRNA from 1 species
ACGCUGGCGGCGUGCCUAAUACAUGCAAGUAGAACGCUGAAGCUUGGUGCUUGCACCGAGCGGAGGAGUUGCGAACGGGUGAGUAACGCGUAGGUAACCUGCCUCUUAGCGGGGGAUAACUAUUGGAAACGAUAGCUAAUACCGCAUAAAAGUCGACAUUGCAUGAUGUUGACUUGAAAGGUGCAACUGCAUCACUAAGAGAUGGACCUGCGUUGUAUUAGCUAGUUGGUGAGGUAACGGCUCACCAAGGCGACGAUACAUAGCCGACCUGAGAGGGUGAUCGGCCACACUGGGACUGAGACACGGCCCAGACUCCUACGGGAGGCAGCAGUAGGGAAUCUUCGGCAAUGGACGGAAGUCUGACCGAGCAACGCCGCGUGAGUGAAGAAGGUUUUCGGAUCGUAAAGCUCUGUUGUAAGAGAAGAACGAGUGUGAGAGUGGAAAGUUCACACUGUGACGGUAACUUACCAGAAAGGGACGGCUAACUACGUGCCAGCAGCCGCGGUAAUACGUAGGUCCCGAGCGUUAUCCGGAUUUAUUGGGCGUAAAGCGAGCGCAGGCGGUUAGAUAAGUCUGAAGUUAAAGGCUGUGGCUUAACCAUAGUACGCUUUGGAAACUGUUUAACUUGAGUGCAGAAGGGGAGAGUGGAAUUCCAUGUGUAGCGGUGAAAUGCGUAGAUAUAUGGAGGAACACCGGUGGCGAAAGCGGCUCUCUGGUCUGUAACUGACGCUGAGGCUCGAAAGCGUGGGGAGCAAACAGGAUUAGAUACCCUGGUAGUCCACGCCGUAAACGAUGAGUGCUAGGUGUUGGGUCCUUUCCGGGACUCAGUGCCGCAGCUAACGCAUUAAGCACUCCGCCUGGGGAGUACGACCGCAAGGUUGAAACUCAAAGGAAUUGACGGGGGCCCGCA